rnacentral:rRNA from 1 species
GGUUAGCCCAACGAGAUCGGGAUAACACCUGGAAACAGAUGCUAAUACCGGAUAACAACAGAUGAUGCCUAUCAACUGUUUAAAAGAUGGUUCUGCUAUCACUCUUGGAUGGACCUGCGGUGCAUUAGCUAGUUGGUAGGGUAACGGCCUACCAAGGCGAUGAUGCAUAGCCGAGUUGAGAGACUGAUCGGCCACAUUGGGACUGAGACACGGCCCAAACUCCUACGGGAGGCAGCAGGU